ensembl:lncRNA
CCCCCCCCCCACCCCCCACCACUGCGGCACAAUCAUUAACCAGGGAAAGAAUCUCGUCCCCAUAGCAACCCCUGCAAUACUGCCAAACUGGCUGUAACGGAGGGGAAAAAAAAGGGGAGCGGAGGGGGUGGGGUGCUCAGGGGUGGAGAGGGUGUGUCUCUGUGUGUGUGUGUGUGUGUGUGUGUGUGUGGGGGAGGCUAUUGAUGUUGAACAGGGUAAGCGGCUCAGUUUGGGAGACCAAUAGCGGGUAUCAAAUCCCAGGCUAUUUAUUUAUUUAUUUAUUUAUUUAUUUAUUUAUUUAUGAACGUUUUUAGUUUAAUGUAAAUUAUAUUCGGUGACAUGAGUCACGGCAUCGUUGUGUCAAUCCUUUCACUGUUAAUGUUCUUCCAUGGAAGUAUAGCAGACCGAGUGCGCAGGUAUGCACUCUGGGAAUAAACAGUCUGUGGCCCUGCGCUGACAUCACCACUAGUUCCUUCUCUCCCUCUCUCUCUCUCUCUCUCUCUCUCUCUCUCUCUCUCUCUCUCUCUUUCUCUCUCUUUUCUCUUUCUCUUUCUCUUACCCUUGCUUGCUCGCUCUUCCUGUCUGGGUGUUGAUCUGUCUCAGAAGGGCUUGUGAAAAAGGAAACCGAUAACUAGAGUCUCAAUGACAUCCAGAAGAGGGACACAGUGACAGCACUGACCAAUACAAAGAACAAGAUGUGCUCCAGGGCAAAGCAGACUGCAUUAAAGUUAUGCUGCCGUGACAUACAUAUGCAUACACACACACACACACACACACACACACACACAUAUAUAAUAUGCAAAACCCCCUUAACCUGUCCACCAUUUGCUUAAAACCUAAUCUUAGACCUAAACGAACACAAUCCUGCAACAACAGUUGCUUGACAUUGCCGAAACGACUUCCCUUUUAGCCGGCAGUCUCUGUGCACCAUAUUAGGUUGUGUACCUCGUUGGGGAAGCACUGCGGAAAGCUAUGACAAAAAUAAGUUUACUUGUCAGUCAGGGGCAUCAUGGAGGUCAGUUUACGUUUCGGUCACGAGCUGCAAGAGGGCCACGUCGGUCGCGCGUACACGCCAAGGUUCCCGCCGAGCCGAAUUACGUAAUCACGAAGCAGGUCACGGAUACCCCGAGCUCUUUCGUUUAUACGGACGUACGCGUGGAUGUAAUCCGAUCCGACGUCGCUCACGCUCACGCUCGUGCGCGGAGCGAGGGUCGGUGUCGACGCUGCCGUAAAAACAAGACGGACGCGAGUCGGUGUUCUGGAGCCGUUUGUGAAUGUAUCAAGUCUGCAACGUUUAAUAAUAAAUAAAUAAAUAAAUAAAAAUAAAAAAUCAGAGCGGCGCAGGACAAACGGAGUCAUCGACUCCCAAAAGAAGGAAUCGAUUCCGAACAGCUGGAACGAGUCGUUAGUGAUUCCAGACUCACUUCCCGUACGAACCUACGUAGGUGUGUAACAAAAAGCCCCGCCUCUGGUCUUCAUCAUGCACGCUGACAUCGGUAGACCGAUCACGACAGACUGGGACGUCUGACCGAUCAGACCAGAGUAUGCUCUCUGGAAGGAGGAGUUUAGAACGAAUCUUUUAGAACGGAUCGUUCUAACGAGUCGUUUGUGACACUGAGGGGAAAAAGGCAACGGUGCAGUUUAAAUUACGAGCACGUUAAAGUGUUUUUUGACCUCGGAUGCGCGUAAAUCUAUCGUACGGGUCCUUUAAAAGAAAAUCAGACACGUUUCGAAACCAUAAUAGGUGCGCUUUAAACGAUUUCCGUCAUCCGAGAGAGGAGGAGAAGAGCCGGUGACUGUAGAGACGGUGGCUCGGCGUUUCAUACCCGGAUCGAGAAUGCUCUGCUUGGUCGAAAGCAACGUUAAAUGCACACACAAACCCAGAGCUGUCAUCGACAGAUAUACAGAACGAUUUAUUUUUUAUGUUUAUCACGUGCGUGCGUGUCCUCGCCGGAUUUCCGGCCAGGAUAGUUUGAUGCCGGUCUCGUCGCCCGUCCGACCUUAACGUAGAUUAGAAUCUGUAACGUGAGCUGUGCUUUCUUACAGGAGCGCUUUAUUGCACAAGGAAUGCAUUGUGAAUGCACCUCCGCAGACCCACCGCGCCGUCCUCGGUCAUCCCGUCUGUCCGACGCGUUAUGAAAAGGAUUUACCCGUCUCGUUCAAUCGGACGGAAAUUCAGUUCGGAUUAGACGCGAAUCGCGCUACUCUGUUCCCAAUGAGGUGUUCACGUGAACCUGUUUUUUUAAAUUAUUAUUAUUAUUAUUAUUAUUAUUAUUAUUAUUAUUCCGAUCGAGCUGUGAGUUGGAUUGUUAAUGGAUUUUUACGCGGCGUGUAAACGAACGUAGCCGGUGGUAACGUUCUGCAAAAGUAGAGCCUUUUGUAUUUAUCUGGCUCUCCUAGCAAUCGCCAACGCUGAGCCCGAAUCGAACGUGCGGUGAACGUGUUCUCAGCAGGAGUGUCCAUGAGGCUCUGUUUCUAAAGGCUGUUCCUAUAGUUUACGGCAUCUGGGCACACUUUAUGGAUGCCCCCGUGACGGAUCGGAUAGGAUUAAAUGGUUUGUGAGGAAGCGUUAGACGUAAAACUCGCGAAACUCUGUGUGUUUGCUUGUCCGUGUACUUUGGGCUUCCUUGUCCACAGCACUACCACCCCCUUUUUCCACUGGCAUUGGUUAUAGGGAGGUUGAAUUUUUGACCCCAAAACAGCCCCAACCCUCGUGUCAAAGCUGUUAUUCACGGUCUCUCUCUCUCUC